rnacentral:rRNA from 1 species
UACGGGGGGAGCAAGCGUUGUUCGGAUUUACUGGGCGUAAAGGGCGCGUAGGCGGCGCAACAAGUCACUUGUGAAAUCUCCGGGCUUAACCCGGAGCGGCCAAGUGAUACUGUCGUGCUAGAGUGCGGAAGGGGCUACUGGAAUUCUCGGUGUAGCGGUGAAAUGCGUAGAUAUCUGGAGGAACACCGGUGGCGAAGGCGGCAUCCUGGACCGGCAUUGACGCUGAGGCGCGAAAGCAUGGGGGAGCGAACAGG